GAGGGGGGGGGGCCGUUACAAGCUUGCGCAGUGAGCGAGCACAAGCUCAAAUUUGAAAUCUGGCUCUUUCAGAGUCCGAGUUGUAAUUUGAAGAAGGUAUCUUUGGGUCUGGCUCUUGUCUAUGUUUCUUGGAACAGAACGUCACAGAGGGUGAGAAUCCCGUGCGAUGAGAUGAUCCAGGCCUAUGUAAAGUUCCUUCGAAGAGUCGAGUUGUUUGGGAAUGCAGCUCUAAGUGGGUGGUAAAUUCCAUCUAAAGCUAAAUAUUGGCGAGAGACCGAUAGCGAACAAGUACAGUGAUGGAAAGAUGAAAAGAACUUUGAAAAGAGAGUGAAAAAGUACGUGAAAUUGUUGAAAGGGAAGGGCUUGAGAUCAGACUUGGUAUUUUGUAUGUUACUUCUUCGGGGGUGGCCUCUACAGUUUAUCGGGCCAGCAUCAGUUUGGGCGGUAGGAGAAUUGCGUUGGAAUGUGGCACGGCUUCGGUUGUGUGUUAUAGCCUUCGUCGAUACUGCCAGCCUAGACUGAGGACUGCGGUUUAUACCUAGGAUGUUGGCAUAAUGAUCUUAAGUCGCCCGUCUUGAACAACGAACCA
rnacentral:rRNA from 1 species